UCUACCAAAAAGAAAUAAACAGCCAAUCCCGCAGAAUUCCCAAGAUGACAAAAUUCUGCAAAAGUUAAACGAUAUUUACGAAAAUGUCCAAGAGACUUUUGAACUUAAUGGGAGUGAAAUAUCUAAUUUAAACCACAACGUAAAAAUGCUUCAAGACUUGGUUUCCAAUCAAAAUGAGGCGAUAUCGGCCCUUCGAACUGAUAUUAGUAAACUUAAAGGUAAUUGAUCUAUAGAAAUUUAUAAUUAUUAAUAAAGUAAUUUUAAUUUCUCAUUUAUGUGUUAAAAUUUCAGCAUGUUCUGAGAAUCAAUAUCUCAUAAUUACUGCACUACUAUCAGAAAUCAACGUUAUAUUGAAAACCCAUCUAACCCCAGGACUUGAAAAACAUAAGUAUAAAGAAUUGUUUCCAAUAAGAACACAGGAGGAACUCGAAGCUGUUGAAAAUGAAAUAAACAAUGAAAAUGUUGGAUUAAUGAUUGCGAACAUAAAAAGUAUUUUAGGCUGUGGGAAACUACAAAGUAACUUUAGGGAACUAAUUGAUAUGCCUUUACUGUUGGAGUAUAACGUAUUUGGUCUGCAAGGCCUAAAACGAUUACCUAAUUAUGAAAAGUUUACUGGCGCCAUAUAUCAUGCUGUAGGUUCGGAAUUUGCCACCAAAAAGGAAUUCUUUAAACAUUUGAGCAAGGCCGUUCGACUCGUGAAAAACCUUUACUAUAAAAACAAUUCAAGCAAAAAGAAGCAAAAUAAUGAAGAUAUCGAGGGAGAAAUAUAAACUUAUAUCGAUUUAUUGAAUUUUUAGAAUUAUAUAACAAGUUCCUACCAUAUUCUGUACCUCACUAAUUAUAUAAUAUGAACUUUAAUGUGUUUUCUUGUACAAAGAAAUUGUUUUUGAAGUAAUAAAAUUUAUAUUUUUUUAAUUUUAAA